rnacentral:rRNA from 1 species
UACGAAGGGAGCUAGCGUUGUUCGGAAUCACUGGGCGUAAAGCGCACGUAGGCGGAUGUGUCAGUCAGGGGUGAAAUCCCGGAGCUCAACUUCGGAACUGCCCUUGAUACAGCACGUCUUGAGUCCGGAAGAGGUGGGUGGAAUUCCUAGUGUAGCGGUGAAAUGCGUAGAUAUUGGGAAGAACACCGGUGGCGAAGGCGGCCAUCUGGACCGGAACUGACGCUGAGGCGCGAAAGCUAGGGGAGCGAAUGGG